rnacentral:tRNA from 1 species
GCUCAGGUGGCUCAAUCGGAUAGAGCGUUGGACUUCUAAUUCAAAGGUUGCGGGUUCAAGUCCCGCCCAGAGUA